UACGGGGGGAGCAAGCGUUGUUCGGAUUUACUGGGCGUAAAGGGCGCGUAGGCGGCCACCGCAAGUCAGUUGUGAAAUCUCUGGGCUUAACCCAGAACGGUCAGCUGAUACUGCGGGGCUAGAGUGCAGAAGGGGCAACUGGAAUUCUUGGUGUAGCGGUGAAAUGCGUAGAUAUCAAGAGGAACACCUGCGGCGAAGGCGGGUUGCUGGGCCGACACUGACGCUGAGGCGCGAAAGCCAGGGGAGCGAACGGG
rnacentral:rRNA from 1 species